UACGAAGGGGGCUAGCGUUGCUCGGAAUCACUGGGCGUAAAGGGUGCGUAGGCGGGUCUUUAAGUCAGGGGUGAAAUCCUGGAGCUCAACUCCAGAACUGCCUUUGAUACUGAAGAUCUUGAGUUCGGGAGAGGUGAGUGGAACUGCGAGUGUAGAGGUGAAAUUCGUAGAUAUCAGGAAGAACACCCGUGGCGAAGGCGGUUCUCUGGGACGGUACUGACGCUGAGACGCGAAAGCGUGGGGAGCGAAACAGG
rnacentral:rRNA from 1 species